UAAAGCCAGCCCUUCACCUCAUUCAGGCAAUCCACAGCCGGUUGCACCGACUCUUGAGGUUUAAAUGGAACAUAAAUGUUAUGCCUGUAUGGUUAAACUCUGUUCUCUUUGGGAAUAAACAUUUCCUCAACACUAAUGAUUGAACCGCGUUUCACUGAGAUGCCCCGUAGAUGGCAAAGGUUUCUCCUGCUCCCAGAAUCCUCUGCUGCCCCUUGCAUGUUCCUGUUCAACGUGUCUUCCAGUGACAGAGCGGAGAUUGGUCUGACUCUACAAUCUCUGGUCAUGAGGCCACUGAGGUGGUCAAAAAACUCCUUGGUGGUAAGGUCCCAGGAGUGGAUAACAUUCACCAGGAGUUCCUUAAGGCUCUGAGUUGUGUGGGUUGACACAGAUCUGCAUUAUUAUAUAGACAUCAGUGGCAGUUCCACUGGACUGGCAGAUUGGGAUGGUGGCCCCGCUAAUUAAAAAGGAGGAUCACAGGGUCUGUCCCAACUGCAGGGAGAUCACACUCCUGAGCCUCCCUGGUAAAGCGUAUUCAGGGGUUCUGGAGAGGAGGGUCCGUUGGUUAGUAGAACCUCAGAUUCAGGAGGAGCAAUGUGGUUUUCAUCCUAGCCGUGGAACACUGGACCAGCUCUAAACCCUUAAGGGGGGGUCCUGGACGUGUCAUUUGGAAUCUUAGUAUGUCCAAGGAAGGUCCCACCUUUCUCGCCUCUGAUUGGCUAGAAGGGCUCUCCUACGAUUGGCUAUUUCAUGUAUGAGGAAACUGUUUUCCCUCGCUGCAGGUUUUUAUGUUUACAGCCAGAUAUUGAGGAAAUUUUGGAAGAAAAUGUAAACUCAUCGCUAUGAUAAACAUCCUUUCCUGUUUUGCAACAAACCCGUUUCAGUUUCUUUCAUUAAAGAACCUGAAAAACGUCAAAUGUGAACCUGUAUUAAAUCUUGUUGCAUUUUAUUACACUGUUAGACUGACUUUUUACCUGUUGGCACUAUUGGGGUUAUCACUUACUUAUUAGGCUAUCCUAUGUAUUCACUUUAGUAGGUUAAAGCUGUUUACAAAUUAGAGCACAUCUCUAAUCAUCACUUUAAACGUGUGUCAUUUGAUAAAAAAUUAAGCUGAAGCGGAUUAUGAUUUAGACGAUCCAUCCAUCCAUUGUCUGAACCGCUUUGUCCAUGUAAGGUCGGGGGUGUGCCUAUCUCUAGUGGUCAGUGGGCAAUCAGGCGGGGUACACCCUGGACAGAGCCAGUCCAUCGCAGUGGUUUAGACUAGUUUUUCAUUAUUCUACAAAAGAAAGAAGACCUGCUGCACGCAGCUGGGCAGAAUAGUGCAGUUUUAUUAAAUUUCAUACCCAGGGAAGGCACAUGUGUUUAUCCUAUGUAUACUUAUGGAUUUUACGUUUUUCAGUUUUCAAUGAAACAUAAAACAUUUUGCAAUUCAGCACAGAAUGGUUAUUAUAGCGUUUAGUUCACAUUUUAUUUAUUAAACAGUUUUCUGCUGGUGGCAUGUGGGGACAACCGGUUUGCUGCUACAUGAAAUAGCCAAUCGUAGUAGAGCCUUUCUAGCCAAUCAUAGGCAAGAAAGGCGGGAUCUUCCUUAGACAUCCUAGUCCUGGACGGUGCGUGGAAGUUCACCCAACCAAUCUACAUGUGUUUUGUGGAUUUGGAGAAGGUGUUUGACCUUGUCCCUCGGGGGGGCCUUGUGGAAGGUACUUUGGGAGUAUGGGGUAUUGCCGACAGUAGGUCAGGCUCGUUCCUAGUGAGAGUUUGACUCCGCCAAGACUGUCCAAAAAAACUCUGACGAAGACAUGUGGGGUGUCAAAAUGUUAGCAUGUAGUCCUUUUUAUUUGCACCUGUUUAAACCUUACCGUGCUCCAGCUUUUCAGUUUUUUUUUCUUUCAUUCCAUUGUCCUCCAUUUGUUAUGGCAGCUUCACAUCAGGGCCAGCACGGACCUAGCUGGGUGGCGUUGGCCCAGGAUCCGCACCGGUAGGGUUUGUUCACUCACAACUUCUCAGGAACGGGGAAGUCUCAGAGCAUGUGGGCGGGGCAAAAGUCACACGAAAAGUCUGUGGUGUCCCCCUUAAAUGACGGCUGUGCAGUUCAAGGCACGGCAGCGCUGUGUGUGUGUGUGUGUGUGUGUGUGUGUGUGUGUGUGUGUGUGUGUGUGUGUGUGUGCACUCCUCACAGUAGUGAGGAGAGACCGGGAGCUACCACAGUUUCAGUCAGAGAUGAUGUUUAAAUCUCAUCAUCCAGAAUGAUAAUAAUCGCGCAUGCGGGAAGCUCCCGAUCCCGAGGCGUGUAUUUAAGUUGGUCAGUCAGUUGGCAGUGGGUGUGUUGGACCUGUUCAGCCCAAAGCAUACCGCCUCGGGUCAAAUAACCGACCGGUUUAGCAUGGAAAAAUACAAGGCCACCAAGAUGUGAACAUUUUAUAAACUACCCAGUCCGGUCCAUGCUGGUCCAGAUGUGAAAGUGCCAUUAGAGCACCGGCAGAGCAGAUGACGCGCAGGGUAUCAUGUUUUAUGUUCUGCUUUUCAGAGGUCAGUGCUCAAACCACUUGUGAUUUCUGAUAAAAGCCGUUGAAGCAUGUUGUUUGAUUUUUCAUUCAGUUUAUCAUUUCUUCCUCAGGUUAUUUUUGUCUUCAUUCAGUUGGACAUUACUCUAUCCUUGUGUUUGUUUAGUUUGUUGGCUCGUUGAUCACACCUUCAUUAAUUUGGUUGCUUUUUAUUGUUAUGGGUAUUAGGGGGAGAUGGGUUGGUCAGUAAUUUAUAUUCAUUUGUUUUUCUACUCUUUGGUUGCUCGUUUCAUCAUUUUUUCAGUUGUUGAUCUGGUAGAUUGUUUUGUUGUUUUAACAUUAAUCUUUUUGUUUGGUUGGUUGCUCAUUCCUCUCUUUGUUCUUCCAUGUGGUUGGUUGUUAUUUCUGUCUUACAUUUGUUUGUUCUUUCAGAAUCGAACAGAAAAAGCUAACGGCUUUCUUAUAAUAAUGUCAUACUGGUCUGAUGAUCUUAGCAGAAUACCUUCCACUAAGUGCAUUAUUUGUGCUUUAUGCAACUAGUGCUUUGUUUUCGUGUACUACGUAGAACUUGAGUCCUAAUGAGUUCUAAGAGUCUGUGUGAGUAUUUCUUGUGCUCUGAUUGAAAACUCCAGUGACUCAGCACUUUACCGCCCUCGGUAUUGCUGGCAUUUCAGGAUUCUGCUCCGUGUUUGUGAAUUUCUGGGAGGGAUGGGCGUGGUUCCAUUGUACCUUUGCCCCAUACAACAGACACAUGAUGUCCACAGGAGAUUUAUCUGCACCCGCGACAUUACACAAGCAUGUUUGACCUCUGACCUGGUGGACUGACAGGUAGGGGCUCUGCUGUCUCUUUGACUUCAUCUGGCCCCAUUCUGUCAGAAAGGCUGAAGGGGAAUUGUCUAGAGUUUUGCUUAAUUAGUGAGACAAUUGUUUUUUAUAGCUUAACUCACUUUCUCUUUCACUCACUCACACACUCACACACACAUACACACACACACACACACACACACACACACACACACACACACACACACACACACACACACACACACACACACACACACACACAGAUAAGGCUAGUGUGAGUUGUUAAGUUUGUGAGAUGUAGGACUGCAACAAACAAUUAUGUGGAUCAUCAAUGAAUCAGAUGGGGUCUCGACUCGAUUACGGUAAUCGUAUUAAACAGGAAAAUUUAAAAACUGCUAGGGAAACAUUUGUUCUCUCCUUCCUUUACUUUAUUUAACAGCAAAACAUGGUUAGAAAACAGUUUAAUAGCAAAACAACAUGCUAUCACCUAAAUAUAUCAUAAUUAAACUAUGAUCAGUAAAUUUUAUGUAUUUCAUUAACAUGAUCGGUAGUGAGCUACUAGAAAUGCUAAUAACAUUUAAUUUCUACUGCUACAAAUGUAAUGGUGACAUAUGUAUUAUAGUGGCGUGCUAUAAUUCUGCAGCAGUGUUGAGUAGAGCAGACUUGAAGCAGCAACCCGACUGCAGUAGCUCUGCUCCAUAACGCUGCAGACAGCUAAGAAUAAACGGGGUGAUGGCAACUUUUCUUCCGCUUGUAGAGUUUAGAUAUUCUCAGUUUCACGACCAUUGUCUUUUUUUGAACCCCUCUUAAUCGUGAGUCUGCUACUGGCUAGCAUUAGCUAAUCUGGCCGUAGUUACACUUUUGAUCCUGAAUCGUUUCUGCCUUUGUGUCUUGCUGGUUUCUGUUUUCCUCCAAAGCACCUAGAUUAGCACACUGUGUGCCGCUAAAAGCAUCUUCCUUACACAAUAAAAAGCAACUGACCUUUGUUCAAUAAAGUUCUGGGGGAAAGUCACUUGAAAAGAUGUUGCACCAGUGCUGCUUCUAAAAAUAGUUUAUUGCAUGUGCAACAUAAAUGUACAGCCCUGCCUAACAACGUUAAUUAAUCCGGGCCUAGGGGUGAAUUACUCUAUAAGAAUAAACAUAGUGUUUUGUAAUUUACCCAGAGAUUGAGCUCUCCCCUUCCUCAUUGAUGGCUCCGACAUGCUUGCGUUUAAGAUGCUGCAUCAUCGCCGUCGUACUCCCGUGCCAUGCCAUGUCUGAUUUACAUAUGUUGCAGGUGACAAAGGUCUUUCCAUGGUUUAACAUUAAGUGCUCCCAAACUUUUGAAGUUUUUAUUUUCUUAGGUCUUCCUGCUUCUGCCAUACAUUCCACCUACAGAUGAGCUGCACGCAUUGACUGUUAAAUAAAUUCAAUUCAAUUCAAGUUUAUUUAAAUAGCGCUAAAUCACGGCAAGAGUCGUCUCAAGGCACUUCACAUAGUAAGCAUUCCAAUACAUGUCAGUCCAUUAAGCCAAUCAGUAAAAUGUUUCCUAUAGAGCUCCAGACCCCACGUGACUCUCAGUAGACGCCAUAUUGGCAGGAAAAAAAGAUAAACAAACACGGAUGUAACCAUGAACGUGAACGGGAUCGGCUUGGAUUUUACUUCGUCGGAUUUUACUUCACACUUUAAAACCGAAUAAAUUGUUUUAUAUAGUCAGAAAUUAAAUACACUAAACAUCUCUGACCCUUACCGUGCCCCUGGGAUACUUUUUUAAAACGCCAGAAGCUGUCGGAGCGGACUUCUUACUGGACCUGGCCGGGGAACGCCUUGGGAUUUACCCGGAGGAGCUGGCCCAAGUGGCUGGGGAGAGGGAAGUCUGGGCCUCUCGACGCUACUGCCCCCGUAACCCGACUCUGGAUACGCGGAUGAAAAUGAAUGGACAAAUAACAGAUUUACACCUAAGUAGUUUAAAUAGAGUGCUGUGCUGUUUGAAUGUAUAAACUGAACGCCAAGAGAAAUCAGUAGUCUGAUUUUUUUUCCGUGAAUAAAAUAAAAAUGUCAGGCAGGAGCAUCUCAGGAUCUGUCUGAGAUCUGUCUCGGUGAGACAGAUAAUAGCAAUCCAAAGUGCUUUUUAUGUGUGAUCUGACAAUUGAUCAACCAUUGCUUAAAAAUUAAAUACAGCUUAGCUGGUUAAUUGCUGUGAUCAUAAAACACGGAAACGGCAGCACGCAGAAAUCACGAGGCAACGUUUUACGUGAUGUUUACUUGCUGCUGUGAGUAAUAAGACAGAAAAAGCCACGCCAAAAUAAGUUUAGGAAGCCUACUAAGAAUCAUAAUAAAAGUAUUUAAAAUAAAUACCAUACACAGUUGAGGAAACGUUGGUUUAAGUACCUGAUAUGAAGCGGUCGCUGCAUAAGCGAAAACCUUUACUCUCGGGAUCCCACAGCUUCAUUUCAGCCCGGUCACUAGCGCGUUUUAUUACAAUGAUCCAACGUUUGCGGCGUUCCAGAUCUUGGGGAAUCCUGUAGAUGGCUCAUUUCUUAUGUCGUCCGUGUCUGUUCUGCAUCCUGGGGCACAACAGGAAUCUACCAUAUUUCCUGUCUGAUUGAGUUUUCUGACGAUUACAAAUAGUCCAGCUGCCGGCUUCUACCUGCCAAUAUGACGCAGUUUCUAUUUGAACUGUUGCAUGCUGGGAGAAGUGACGUCAACUCCCGGAGCUCUAUAUAAGGAACCCAGCUAAUUGCUUCAAGUCACUGACCGGUGUCAGCAACUUUGCAGCAUUCCUCAUACUAGGCAAGCAUUUAGCGACAGUGGAGAGGAAAACUCCCUUUUAACAGGAAGAAACCUCCAGAGGAUCCUGGCUCAGUAUAAGCAGCCAUCCUCCACGACUUACUGGAGAUCGAGAAGACAGAGCAGACACAUGCAUUCAAUUCAAUUCAAUUCAAAAAUACUUUGUUAAUCCCAGAAGGAAAUUGAUUGCUGUAGUAGCUCAGAAUAAUAAUAAUAAUAAUAAUCAAGUCAUCAAAGAGUUGUUGUAUAUUACAAUGGCUGUUGGCAGGAAGGAUCUCCAGUAGCGGUCAGUGUUGCAGCGAAACUGAAGAAGCCUCUGACUGAAGACACUCUUCCGUUGUCGGACAGCCUUGUGAAGAGAAUGCUCAGGGUUGUCCAUAAUUUCUUGAUUCUCUGGAGAAUCCUUCUUUGCAUUAUCUCCUCCAGUGGUUCCACAGUCGUCCCCAGAACAGAAUCAGCCUUUUUUAUUAGGCUGCUGAGCCUUUUCAGGUCCCUGCUUCCUAAUGCUACUACCCCAACAGACAAUAGCUGAAGAGAUUACACUCUCAACAACAGACUUGUAGAAGAUCUGCAGCAUCUUGCUACAGACACUGAAGGACCUAAGCGUCCUCAAGAAGUGCAGUCUGCUGUGUCCCUUCUUGAAAACAGCUUCACUGCUCUUUCUCCAGUCCAGUCUGUUGUCCAGGUGAACUUGUAUUCCUCAACCCCCUCCACUUCUUCUCCCAUGAUGGAAACAGUGUUUGACUUCACCCUGUUUCUUCAGACUCUACCAGAGUGCAGAAAAAAGAGUGCAAGCAUAGAGGGGAGUGCAGAAAGUGAGUGCAGUGGAGUACAGGAAGUUAAGUAUACGUGCUAUGGUAGGGUCUUAAUGUUUAAGUCUUAGUUUUUACUGUCAUGUCCCAGGCCUUUCCAAAUGAAGCAGGGUACAAAUGGCUCCUUAAUGAGGAAAAACACACUAAAGGCUUUAGGUUAGGUAUUGCUGGUCCUGAUGUCGUUCUGAAUGCUCAAGGAGUUGGUUUUGGGAGAACAGUAGUGUCGUUUAGAACAAAGAUAGGCAGAGAUUAUAUGAGACAGAAUAAACAAAAUCCCAACCAGGAGUUGAAGAAGAUUUCUAGAUGCAGAUUUGAGUCAUCGGGCUGCUAAAUCUUAAGAACCACAUUUUUGUCUAAUAUUGUAAAAUACUAUUAACAUAUAACAAGAGUAUUUCCUCUCUUGUUCAGAGGACAAAAAUACUUGCAACCAAAGAUUUGGAUUAACUAAGUUUCCCAGAGACAUUCACUUUUUUCAGAAAUCCUUCCUGUCUGGGUUCCCCUGCACGCUGAAAAUUAAUCCAGGAUAAAACAAACUCUUCUAUUAAAGGCUCUAGCAGACUUUAAGCAACUAUAUGUUUGGGUUAAAACUGCCACAUUUAUUUUUACAGUUCAAAAUUUUGACAUAACUCUAUGAAUUCAGUUUUUUAAUUAGUUUUAUUUGUUAAAAAUUCAUGAAUUAUCUUUAUCGUAUGAAACUGUCAGUGCUCCACAAAUAAACUCAAAUCAGUUUCCGCAAAGAUCUUAGAGAAUUCAGAUGUUUUCUUUUUUCUUCAGAACCAGCUGAAGCAGGUAUCUGUUUAUUCCAUAUUUAGGAGCAGCCACUGUGUGUGACCUCUAACCUCCAUGUGGGCGGAGCCUGUGAUAACAAUAAUAAAACUAGUCGUUGGGUGGUGCCUCUUGACGAUACAGCUACUGGAAAAGGAUGAUGCCUCACAUCGAGGGUGUGAGAACCACAUCCGCUUUCCCACAAUGCAUUGUGUACAGAGAGAGAGGGUGUGGGCGGGUGGGGACAAGCGGGCACUGAGACAGAGUUGCUCUUUGCCUCUGGCAUCACCAUGGAGAUGAAGACUCCUCACAUAGACUCUUGGCUGCUCCUUUCUACUGCUGUUUAUCAUUCAGUUCAUAUGUUGGAGUCCAACAGGAAGUGGAACUUAUUCAUUCAUGGAGUGGUGAUGGAUGGUGUGUAGUCCUGACAUGUGAAUCAGAAGUUAGAGCAAGGCACUAACACUGCCAGGGUUGUUGGUUCAAAUCUGGAUGCAGUUCACAAUAUAAGUGGAUGGUACUUUCCCCUGCUGCUUCCUCUCAUCGAUCCAGCAUUGCUGGGAUUCUGUCCAGCUGCCUCGGAUAUUAGAGGACUGGGCUUCACACACGCGCGCGCACACACACACACACACACACACACACACGAACACACAUAUACACAGUAGCAAACACUCAGCUGCCAGGGUGUUAAUCGUUCAUCCUGGAGUCAAGGAAAUGCUAACAAACACAACAGGAAUGGGUUCUCUGAGGACACCCCACUUGUACACACACACACACACACACACACACACACCCAAACUGAGACACACCUACAGCAUGCGUAAGUAGCCCAGCAGAUCCACAGUUCGCUGGUAUGUGGGUGUGUACUUCCGUCUCUUUACCUACCUUUUCCAACUUGUUUCAAGGAGACACACCCACUUUGUUGUGUAGGACAGGACACACACACAGUGAAAGGCAAAGAGGAGUGUGUACUGUGACUCUGUCACUGUCAGGAAACACUGAGAAGCUACCACUUAAAGCAGCUGCUGAAUGGAUGUUGUGAGGCCGGACAUAAUAACCACAGACAGGAAAUACUCAAUCAGUUUCGUCACUACUAACAAGUUACUGUGGACUUAUUUUGAUAGGAGGGAGGCCCUACUCAAAAAUCAUGAAGGACCAUUGGGAGGAGAUGAAGGGGACGUGUAGACAUGAUGGCCCAGGAUCAGCAUGGACGGAUUCACCGGAGAUGACUCGGAUAAUGACAUCAGGCAUCAGUACAGCAGGAACAGGAAGUCCUGUGUGAACGCUUCAUCUCUGUGUCACUUCCUGAGAGGAAAUAGAACCAGAAGCUGGAGAAAAAGGCGGUGGCAACAAGUCUCACCUCCACUGUGUGUGUGUGUUUGUGUGUGUGUGUGUGUGUGUGUGUGUGUGUGUGUGUGUGUGUGUGUGUGUGUGUGUGUGUGUGUGUGUGUGUGUGUGUGUGUGUGUGUGUGUGUGGUGCACUUUCACUGUCUUUUUGCUCAUUUAGGACCCCUUUAAUGCUUUUGGACUACAUCAUCAUCACUGUUUUUAAUGUUUAGACCAGACGUAGCUUCUUUGUGGAGAUGAAGACUGAACUACAUUUAUCGCCACACACCAGAAAAGGACCUGGGGCCUCAUUUAUCAAGCUUGCUUACGCACAAAACAGGGUCAGAAAACUGCGUAAGCAACUUUCCACACAAACUUUGGGAUUUAUGAAAGAAAACUUAGCGGGAAAAUGUGUGCAACUUUAAGUUGACUAAGGAGCUGGCUUACGCACAUUUUGGACAUGGAGAGCACCUGCAGUGCUGCUGCUAAGAAGGAUAAAAUUAUGAAAUCCUGCAGCAUUAUCACUUGUACUGCUUCAUUUUCACACAGAACAAGACCCCCCCACAUGCACACACACGCACACACAGCCUGAAGCGCAUAAUACAGAAUGCAGAAUAUCAGCAGGGGGACAGAUUGAGACAGAAUGUCAUGCGUCUGUGACAGUGUGUGUCCUGUCACUGUGACCCGAUUAAUCAUGCGCCCUGGCUAGUUUAACAAGGGAAAUCUCAGUUUGGCUGACUGGUUAAAGUGUGUGACUUUCACCUGGGAGUCUGGGGAUCAAAUCCCGAUUAGACCAUUUUUUUUAUAUCCGCCACAGAUCUCUCUGAAGAAUUCACAACAUUGACGGCUUCAGCAACACUGUGCCACUCCGUGGAUUUUCUCUUAUUUGUUUUGCAAAAGCACUUCCUUUCAUUUCUCCACCUCACCCACAAGUACCUCAAUUUCUGCUUGUGAAAUUGUGCUUCCUUGAUCUGCCUUGAUCUACGGUCGCCAUCGUCAUUGGCGGAGCGUUGCAACAGCCGGCUUAUGUAUACGCAUGAGAUCCAUAAGGCACUUUGCAUUGACUAUUUAUGGCAGUAAGUGGACGUGGUGAGGGCGGGAUGUGACUAAAAUGCAGCUGAGAAACUUUCUAGAUAGUUUCUGAUUUGUGAAGCAGAGAUUGCGUGCAGCUGUGCGUACUCCAUGUUUGAUAGAUCACAAACCUACUUGGCGUAAGUACUUUUUUUUUUGCUGAGCUUAAGUACGGUUUUAGUGAGGAUUCUACGCAAUGUUUGAUAAAUGAGACCCCAGGUUGCUGAUGAAGAAUCAAGCUUUAAGGAAUUUUUAUUUUCACUUUUACCACACAUUCAGGACUACCUGCCACUUUUUAGCCCGUUUCCUACAGUUUUAAAUGUUGGCUUUGAGGUUUUCAUGUAAUGGUUUGUUUUGUGGUGAGAGAAGAUUUCUGUUUGAUCUCCUUGCAGUUAACAGAGUGGAGAGGAUGGCCUCGUCGCCAUAGUAACCAUAAUGAAGAGGAGCAUCUAGAAUCUAGAUGCACUGUUGCCCUCUUGUGCCCAAAAGUAGAAUAACAGGAUAAAACCUGCAGUUUUGAGGACAUCAUGAUUAAAAUAUCGUGGGUUUAAGAACCUAUUUUGUGAAGUGAGAUCAUGUGAUCUGUAGAUCCAGAGCUGACACUCCCACAUUCCUUCAUACUCUUAUUUUUUUUCUUCUAGCUUCACAUCAGAGCUUCUUUUUUUUUACCUGAAUGAGCAGAAUGUGAUCAUGUCUAUAAUCCAGAUCACCCGGCAGUCUCCUUUCAAAUGGCUCAAGACAGUGUGAAGCAUGCAUCUCAGGGCCUUGUGGCUUUGUUGUCAUGACGACAGUUGAUUAUAUAAGAGCUGGGCACCAGUUCACAGAGAAAUGUGUAGAAGUCUUAGUGCUGUGACAUGAGACACCACACACACACACACACACACACACACACACACACACACACACACACACACACACACACACACAUAACCAGCUGUUUGUUGGAUUGUUUGUAUAAACUACAACAUGGGUAUGAGAAAACAUGGAUUGUACUAAUUUAGGUAAUAUUAGUGGAUAUGCAUUUUCUACCACUUAGAAAAGGACUGGUCCUUGAGGAAUCAGGUCUAGAAGGUAAACUCAGGCCUCCCUCUCCCCAGAGGCUCCCUCCAUCUCUUGUGGGAUACCACUGUGUUCAUAGAGGAUCUGGAAUACCUCCAGUGAGUUUUGGGCCUGGUCAGGUCUUUUCCCAGCAUCUGGAAAAGCACCAGAGGGAGGUACCCAGGAGAUGCUUUAUUCCUCCAUCACUCAGGAACAACACCCCAGUUUUCAAGCAGUUCUUGGUGAAGGGCAUGAUGACUGUAAUUAUAGUGUUCAGUUUUAAUCUACCUUCAUCCCAAUUCAAUCCAAAUUUAUUGAUUCCAAAAUGUUUCUAUGGGACAAAGAGGGAUCUAGUUCAGAGAGAACAGAUUACCUUGUACCUUUAGUUGAGUUGAUUCCAGUUCAGCUGACAUUCUAAGGGUUAGCCAGCAUUGCAAACACGUGCAUGCGUGUUGUGUGUCAUGGCAUGCUGCCACACAUGCUCUACAGUGAUUAUAGGCAUUGGGGAGUGUUUAUGGUUUUCUCACAAACACUAAUGCAGGUACACACGUGGAGCAGCAGUGGCUCAACAGGGAUUAGAGGGUUUCCACUGAUCACAAAGUGAGCGGUUCGACCCCAUGCAUCUUAUUGAAGUGCCCAUGGGCAAAAUACCAAAUCCUGAUAGUUUCCCCCUCGACAGCACUUGCGAUCCACAUGGAGGGAUCAAAUCAUUUCAAGGAUCAAUACACUGUCGAUUUAUGAGCCUGAACUGAGUGACUUCUGGCUGUUAGCCAGGGUUUGUGAUGUUGCCAGUAACUGAAAACAAGUAAAUCACUGUCAAGAGCUGUCAGCCUGGUUCUGUUUGGAUAUAUGCCCACUGCCGGAGGUGCCAACUGGCCGUGACACUGCUGCCAUGACAACAGCAUUAAUGUUUAGUUUUCUUCUUAAGAAGAGGCACUGUCACCAUCAUCUCCUCCUCAUUUACCAACAUACACACACAGAUGUACAGAGGUUUUAAUGACUCAAUAUUUUUCCCACUUUGCAAUUUGCAUAAACUCCACCAUGUUAUGAAUAGUGAUCAGACGAGUUGUGAUAACAUGUCCCAAGUUUCUCUGAACCUGGAUCUGAAUGAAGUUCCAUCUUAAUCAUGUUUAAAAACGACUGAUCCUUCAGUGCCUGCUGAAUCCUGACUGGCUCUUAAUCCUAAUCUAGUCUGGAAAUAACUUGGUGUUCCUCUCAUCAUCAUACAAAAUACCAGUAAGUAGGCCAAAUUGACAUUUCUUAUUAACUUUUCAAAAGAACCUUCUCUAACAAGGGUAUUUCCAUAGUGUUCACCUUGGGAUGUAGUCCCGUGAACAACCAGCUUUUAGUUGUGGAACACAUUCAAACCAUUUUAAAUAUGUUGAUGUCAGCAUCAUCUACACAUCACGUGUGUGUCAUUUGUAACAACUUCACCAGUGAUGAUUCCUCUAAAGAAAACAUGACAAAAAUCUGUGAAUUUCACUACUGUUGGUUUUUUAUUUAAAAAAAAAACAGAAACCUGUUUAAUUAUAA